GUCCUUGUAGCGCAAUGGAUAGCGCGUUGGACAUCUAAUCCAAUGGCCGUGAGUUCAAAUCCCACCUGGGAUG
rnacentral:tRNA from 1 species